rnacentral:rRNA from 1 species
GACGAACGCUGGCGGCGUGCUUAACACAUGCAAGUCGAACGGAAAGGCCCUGCUUUUGUGGGGUGCUCGAGUGGCGAACGGGUGAGUAACACGUGAGUAACCUGCCCUUGACUUUGGGAUAACUUCAGGAAACUGGGGCUAAUACCGGAUAGGAGCUCCUGCUGCAUGGUGGGGGUUGGAAAGUUUCGGCGGUUGGGGAUGGACUCGCGGCUUAUCAGCUUGUUGGUGGGGUAGUGGCUUACCAAGGCUUUGACGGGUAGCCGGCCUGAGAGGGUGACCGGCCACAUUGGGACUGAGAUACGGCCCAGACUCCUACGGGAGGCAACAGUGGGGAAUAUUGCACAAUGGGCGGAAGCCUGAUGCAGCAACGCCGCGUGCGGGAUGACGGCCUUCGGGUUGUAAACCGCUUUCGCCUGUGACGAAGCGUGAGUGACGGUAAUGGGUAAAGAAGCACCGGCUAACUGCGU